AUGGCCGGACUGGGAGGAGGCGGCGGUCUCAGCGACUACCUUGACCGGCCCAACGCCAUCCACCGCCGCACCGCGUCGCUCGCCAUCGCGCGGUCCGGCGACGAUGGACCGCGCAUCAUGGAUGGGGUUGGGCGGGAGGGUCGGAGGGCGCGCUCGUCGCGCCGUCUCUCGCUGUCGUCGUGGCUCGGGCCGCGCUCCAGGCCUCUGCCGGCCGACGACACCACGUCCGUGGACUCGAGAAGCCGAGGAUUCGAGGGGAGUGGCAGCGCCAAGGGGAAGCCGUCGGCGUGGAGCAGCUGGAAGCCCGUGCGCGCGCUCUCUCGCAUCGGGAAGCGCCGCGCCGGGUGCCUCUUCUCCAUCGAGGUGGCCGCCGUGCGCGGCGUGCCGGCCUCCAUGGACGGCCUCCGCCUCGCCGUCUCCGUCCGCAAGGCCGAGACCAAGGACGGCGCGAUGCAGACCAUGCCGGCCCGGGUGUCGCACGAUGGCACCGCGGAGUUCGACGAGACGCUCUUCGUCAAAUGCAACCUCUACUUCACCGGCGGCCCGGGCACCGGGAAGCCCCUCAAGCUCGAGCCUCGCCGGUUCGUUCUGUCCGUCGUCCCCGUCGAGGUGCCGGACAUCCGUCUGGGGACGUACACCGUCGACGUGAGCUCGCUUGUGCUGGACUCCCUCCAGAAGAGCUCCGAGGGACGCCGCGUCCGGUGGUUCGACAGGGCGUUCGGACUCGCCGGCAAGGCCGCCGGUGGCGAGCUCCUGCUCAAGCUGGGGUUCCAGCUCAUGGAGGACGCGGGGCUCCGUCUCUACACGCAAGCCGCGGGGAGAUCGUCGAGGGACGUGUCCGUGUCCCCCUCCCGGGCGAGGGUUCACAACAAGAACUCGUUCAGCGUCGCCAGUACGACGCCCAAGCUUUCAACGUCCGACGGAGCCAUCUCGCCUUCCAUGAGAGCUUACAGGCAGCUGGUAGACAGGCUCAACAUCGACAAGCGUCCCGAAGACGACGAGCUCUCCACCGCAAGUGGCGCUGGCGACGUCGACUAUGUCAUCCCGGAGUACGAGGUGGUCGACAAGGGCGUCGAGACGGUCAAAGAGGUCGUCCACUUCCAGGACCAGCGCGACGUGCUACGCGAGCUCGACUCCAUUGGCGAGCAGAUCGAAGCCAUCGAGGCGCUGAUGGCGAGCGGCGGCAAGAAGUCGCCGACGGGAGCCGGUCAGCAGCCGCGGCUCGAUGCGGAUGAAGAGAUGGUGACCGUUGAGUUUCUUAGGAAGCUCGAGGCAGUGGACGACGACAAGUUCAGGAAGCUGAAGCAGCCCAUGACACCAAGAUCAAGCGAGUCGCAGAAGAAGGCGCCCGUGGUGCCGGACUUGGGACAAAGCCUUGGCCCGGCGGUGCAAACGCGUGACGGCGGGUUCUUGGUGUCGAUGAACCCGUACAACGUGCCGCUUGCAAGCAGAGACGUACCCCCGGUGCUCGCCAUGCAGGUAUCGAGGCCGUUCGUGCUGCCAAGUGCCAUGGCCGCGACUGGAUUCGAUGUGCUCCAGAAGAUGGCGGCCGCGGGCGGACCCGACGAGGUUCGGGACAAGGUGGCGUCGCUAGGGCGCAUGGAAAGCCUUACCGGAAAGACGCCCGAGCAAGUGGGUUUCGAGGGCAUCGCGGAGGCGGUCAUCGGCGGUAGGCGGACCGAGGGUGGCGCGAGCUCAAGCGCGGCGCGGUCGGUCAGGCUCGUCCGGAAGCUCGCCACCGCCUUGUCCGAGGGCCGGAUGGAGCGCGUCGCCACCGGCAUCUGGAGCGCGGGAAACGAUCCGGAGACGUUGGAUGAGGUACUCGCAUUCUCGUUACAGAAGCUCGAGGCCAUGGCCGUGGACGCGCUCAUGAUCCAGGCCGAGAUGGCCGACGAGGAGCCGCCGUUCGAGGUAGCGCCGGCUGCGGGGGAAACGAACGUGUUCGACGCGCUGGUGCCGUCCGACGAGUGGUCCGAGUCCCGUGGCGGCUCGGACGGCCGCGUCACGCUGGUGGCGGCCAUCCAGCUGCGUGACCCGUCCCGGCGCUACGAGGCGGUGGGGGCGCCGAUGAUCGCCGUCGUCCAGUCGGCGCGGAUGCUGGGCGCGGCGGGGCUCAGCGGGGGGAGGUUCAAGGUGAGGAGCCUGCACGUGGGCGGAGUGCAGACGAGGUGCUUGUCGGGAGUCGGCGGAAGCGCGAGCUGGCGCGCCGAGCGGCAGAAGUUGACGGCGAUGCAGUGGACGCUCGCCCACGGGCCGGGCCGCGCCGCCAAGAGGGUGCAGACGCCGCCAUCGUCGCGGGCAGCGAGGGUGAGGCAGCAGCAGCGGCGGCCAGACGUCGUCUGGAGCCUGUCGUCGAGGGUGCUCGCCGGGAUGUGGCUCAAGACGGUGCGGAACCCGGACGUGAAGAUCAGCGCCGCCGGCAGCACGUGA
rnacentral:rRNA from 1 species